UGAGGAAUAUUGGUCAAUGGACGAGAAUCUGAACCAGCCAAGUAGCGUGAAGGAUGAAGGCUCUAUGGGUCGUAAACUUCUUUUAUAUGGGAAUAAAGUGAGCCACGUGUGGCUUUUUGUAUGUACCAUAUGAAUAAGGACCGGCUAACUCCGUGCCAGCAGCCGCGGUAAUACGGAGGGGGCAAGCGUUGUCCGGAAUGAUUGGGCGUAAAGGGCGCGUAGGCGGCCUGGUAAGUUUGGAGUGAAAGUCCUAUUUUUAAGGUGGGAAUUGCUUUGAAAACUGCUGGGCUUGAGUGCAGGAGAGGUUAGUGGAAUUCCCGGUGUAGCGGUGAAAUGCGUAGAGAUCGGGAGGAACACCAGUGGCGAAGGCGACUAACUGGACUGUAACUGACGCUGAGGCGCGAAAGUGUGGGGAGCAAACA
rnacentral:rRNA from 1 species